rnacentral:rRNA from 1 species
UACAGAGGUCUCAAGCGUUGUUCGGAUUCAUUGGGCGUAAAGGGUGUGUAGGUGGCGCCGUAAGUCGGGUGUGAGAUUUCGGAGCUUAACUCCGAAACUGCAUUCGAUACUGCGGUGCUUGAGGACUGGAGAGGAGACUGGAAUUUACGGUGUAGCAGUGAAAUGCGUAGAUAUCGUAAGGAAGACCAGUGGCGAAGGCGGGUCUCUGGACAGUUCCUGACACUGAGACACGAAGGCCAGGGGAGCAAACGGG